AAAAAUGUCGUUUCUUCUCUCGCUUGUUCUUCCCACCCACCUGGCCAUGGUGGAGCUCUGUUGCGGGUGUUCUUUACAUUGUCGAAGCUGACCAAGGUCCGGGAAGGCAAGAAGCGACGCGGCGAUACCGAUUUCAAAGAGGGUGGGCAAAGGAAUUGGGUGCAGCUCCUAUCCAACGGUGGGAUUGUGUCGACCUUAGUUGUGGUUCUUUGGGAAGAAUCGGGAUUGAAGAAGAAAUGCUUGGAUUCGGACGACUCGGUUCUCAUUACAGCGCUCGCCAGCCCACACCCCUUCCCAAAACCAUAACCAAGCUUUACAAUUCGAGUUGGGGGUCCCUGAAUUCGAACAAUAUCAGCCCACAUCUUCUUCUCCAGCAAGCUCCACGAUGCCAGAUUUUAAAAUACCUCACACCGCAAACAAAACCCAGAUCUCAAAAUCAAUGAAACGACGUCGGAGGAAGAGAAAGUGGAGGGUCAUUGUUGGAAAUAGCCAUGGCCUCCUUCUUGGAAGACUCUGUGUACGACGUUGUCGUCCAUCUAGGUCUUGACGAAGAAGAUGAAGUGGUGGAGUUGAAGGUUUGAUGUAAUUGCAACAGCGACGUCUGCUAACAUCGGUCACCAACGGCCGUCAAAUUACACAUCCAGAAUUCUCUCUUCCCGUCCUCUUUCCAACCCCCAAGUCAGUUUCUACAAAUUCGAAGCGGCAUUUCCUCAAUUUCAGAUCAAAAGAAACGGUGACCACGGGUUUUCCGGCAAACUUCCGGCCAAAUAUCGCAGGAAUUGGACCUCGAACCAAGAGUUUAUUUUCGUCCACGGGUCACCAACGGCCGUCAAAUUACAUAUCCAGACUCCUCUUUCCGUUCUCUUUCCAACUCCCAAGUUAGUUUCUACAGAUUAAUUGGACGUAGAAACAGGGGCGAGGAAAGAACUUGCGGGCAGCAGCGGGGUAGUGGGGUUACCUUAUGCUGUCAAUUUACCUUUAUUUUUCAUUUCUCUUUCAAAUUAUUAUUUCUUUUCAUUUUCAUUUUGUUUCUUUUUAUUUAGGUAUGUAUUAAAAGUGGAAAAAAAAUUAAUGGCAUUCAUCUUUAUUUGUAACUUGUAAGUAAGGGAUUUUAUAUUCGAUUAUCAUCAAAGAUGAAUUUGAACUA